GAUGAACGCUGGCGGCGUGCCUAACACAUGCAAGUCGAGCGACCGCACGAUAAGCUCUUUCUUUUGCUGUUAGCGGCUGACGGGCGAGUAACACGUGCAUCACCUUCUUCUAAUUCUUGGAUAAUUUCGUAAAACCGGUUCUACUACUACAUCAUAUUUUGUACCGCAUGGUUCAAAAGUUCUUGACGGUUUUGCUGUCACUUUUAGCCGGUUCCGCGUUGCAUUAGCUAGUUGGUAAGGUAACGGCUUACCAAGGCAACGAUGCGUAGCUGACCUGAGAGGAUGAUCAGCCACACUGGAACUGAGACACGGUCCAGACUCCUACGGGAGGCAGCAGUAGGGAAUAUUCGACAAUGGGCGAAAGCCUGACGGAGCAACGCCGCGUGAGUGAAGAAGGUCUUCGGAUCGUAAAACUCUGUUAUUAGGGAAGAAAAGAUGUGGAAGAAAAUGUGGACGUCUUGACGGUACCUAAUCAGAAAGCAACGGCUAACUACGUG
rnacentral:rRNA from 1 species